rnacentral:rRNA from 2 species
GUCUGAUGGAGCAUGCCGCGUGAGUGAAGAAGGGUUUCGGCUCGUAAAACUCUGUUGUUAAAGAAGAACACCUUUGAGAGUAACUGUUCAAGGGUUGACGGUAUUUAACCAGAAAGCCACGGCUAACUACGUGCCAGCAGCCGCGGUAAUACGUAGGUGGCAAGCGUUGUCCGGAUUUAUUGGGCGUAAAGCGAGCGCAGGCGGUUUUUUAAGUCUGAUGUGAAAGCCUUCGGCUUAACCGGAGAAGUGCAUCGGAAACUGGGAGACUUGAGUGCAGAAGAGGACAGUGGAACUCCAUGUGUAGCGGUGGAAUGCGUAGAUAUAUGGAAGAACACCAGUGGCGAAGGCGGCUGUCUAGUCUGUAACUGACGCUGAGGCUCGAAAGCAUGGGUAGCGAACAGGAUUAGAUACCCUGGUAGUCCAUGCCGUAAACGAUGAGUGCUAAGUGUUGGAGGGUUUCCGCCCUUCAGUGCUGCAGCUAACGCAUUAAGCACUCCGCCUGGGGAGUACGACCGCAAGGUUGAAACUCAAAGGAAUUGACGGGGGCCCGCACAAGCGGUGGAGCAUGUGGUUUAAUUCGAAGCUACGCGAAGAACCUUACCAGGUCUUGACAUCUUCUGCCAAUCUUAGAGAUAAGACGUUCCCUUCGGGGACAGAAUGACAGGUGGUGCAUGGUUGUCGUCAGCUCGUGUCGUGAGAUGUUGGGUUAAGUCCCGCAACGAGCGCAACCCUUAUUAUCAGUUGCCAGCAUUCAGUUGGGCACUCUGGUGAGACUGCCGGUGACAAACCGGAGGAAGGUGGGGAUGACGUCAAAUCAUCAUGCCCCUUAUGACCUGGGCUACACACGUGCUACAAUGGACGGUACAACGAGUUGCGAAGUCGUGAGGCUAAGCUAAUCUCUUAAAGCCGUUCUCAGUUCGGAUUGUAGGCUGCAA